GUUCCACUCUAUUCUGUUUCGCCAGACGAGUAAACAGACCAUCCAUUUAAGCUGUAAUGAGGAACAGAAAAAGGGCUGCAUGGGGUGACUAUUGUUUCCAUAUGAAUGUCAAAAUGCUUGAUGUAAAACAAUGUGGGGUUUUUGUUCCAGAUCCUGAUUCUGCUAUAUUCUAUCUGACAGGACCUGUGUGUUUUUAAUGGAGGGGGAAAUAACAAACUUGGCAUUGUGACAUAUCGCGGGCUUGGAAACAACAUGCUCCUCUCAUGACACUCAGCUCCAUCAACUCAACACAGCUUAGGGAUGAAGUGUCUAGUGCACAAGACUACACGUUUAGAUACUUCUCAAAAAAACUGUUUGACAAAGGCCCAUCCAUCCACCCAUCUACCCAUCCAUCCAUCCAUCCAUCCAUCCAUCCAUCCAUCCAUCCAUCCAUCCAUCCAUCCAUCCAUCCAGCCACCCCGCCACCAUACUCACCCCAUCCACCACAUCCAGCCACCCAUCCAUCCAUCCACCACCCAGCCAUCAUCAUCAUCCAUCCAUCCAGCCACCCAGCCAUCCAUCCACCCACCCAAUCCAGCCACACCCACAAUCCAUCCACCCCUCAUCCAGCCACCCGCCAUCCAUCCAUCCACCCAUCCACCCACCCAGCCAUCCAUCCACCCAGCCAGCCAGCCAGCCGCCCACCUAAAUACCGACCCCGCCACCCACCCAAAUACCGACCCAGCCCACCCACCCACGCACCCAGCCAUCCAUCCAUCCAGCCACCCAUCCAGCCACCCAUCCAAGUACCCACCCAUCCCCCACCCAGCCACCCACCACCCACCCACCACACCAGCCAUCCAUCCAUCCAUCCCCCCAUCCCAUCCAUCCAUCCAGCCACCCAGCCACCCCUCCAGCCACCCACCCAUCCAGCCAGCCACCCACCCAUCCAGCCACCCAUCGACCUGAUAGCUCAUUGAAACAGACACAUUAAUAGACGUUCCACAUCAUCCUGUUCUAGCAAAGAGGC
rnacentral:lncRNA from 1 species